rnacentral:misc_RNA from 1 species
GAUGAAGAACGUAGCGAAAUGCGAUACGUAAUGUGAAUUGCAGAAUUCAGUGAAUCAUCGAAUCUUUGAACGCACAUUGCGCCCGCCAGUAUUCUGGCGGGCAUGCCUGUUCGAGCGUCAUUUCAACCAUCAAGCCCCCGGCUUGUGUUGGGGACCUGCGGCUGCCGCAGGCCCUGAAAACCAGUGGCGGGCUCGCUAGUCACUCCGAGCGUAGUAAUACAUCUCGCUCAGGGCGUGCUGCGGGUUCCGGCCGUUAAAAAGCCUUAUUUACCCAAGGUUGACCUCGGAUCAGGUAGGAAGACCCGCUGAACUUAAGCAUAUCAAUAAGCGGAGGA